rnacentral:rRNA from 1 species
GUCUACGGCCACGCCACCCUGAACACGCCCGAUCCCGUCCGAUCUCGGAAACUAAGCAGGGUCGGGCCUGGUUAGUACUUGGAUGGGAGACCAUCCAGGAAGACCAGGUGCCGUAGGUG